rnacentral:rRNA from 1 species
GUGAGUAACACGUGAGUAACCUGCCCUUGACUCUGGGAUAACCGCGGGAAACGGCGGCUAAUACCGGAUAUGAGACGUACAGGCAUCUGUUGCGUCUGGAAAGAUUUAUCGGUCAAGGAUGGGCUCGCGGCCUAUCAGCUUGUUGGUGGGGUGAUGGCCUACCAAGGCGACGACGGGUAGCCGGCCUGAGAGGGCGACCGGCCACACUGGGACUGAGACACGGCCCAGACUCCUACGGGAGGCAGCAGUGGGGAAUAUUGCACAAUGGGCGCAAGCCUGAUGCAGCGACGCCGCGUGAGGGAUGAAGGCCUUCGGGUUGUAAACCUCUUUCAGCAGGGAAGAAGCGCAAGUGACGGUACCUGCAGAAGAAGCGCCGGCUAACUACGUGCCAGCAGCCGCGGUAAUACGUAGGGCGCAAGCGUUGUCCGGAAUUAUUGGGCGUAAAGAGCUCGUAGGCGGUUUGUCGCGUCUGCUGUGAAAACCUGAGGCUCAACCUCGGGCUUGCAGUGGGUACGGGCAGACUAGAGUGCGGUAGGGGUGACUGGAAUUCCUGGUGUAGCGGUGGAAUGCGCAGAUAUCAGGAGGAACACCGAUGGCGAAGGCAGGUCACUGGGCCGCAACUGACGCUGAGGAGCGAAAGCAUGGGGAGCGAACAGGAUUAGAUACCCUGGUAGUCCAUGCCGUAAACGUUGGGCACUAGGUGUGGGGCUCAUUCCACGAGUUCCGUGCCGCAGCAAACGCAUUAAGUGCCCCGCCUGGGGAGUACGGCCGCAAGGCUAAAACUCAAAGAAAUUGACGGGGGCCCGCACAAGCGGCGGAGCAUGCGGAUUAAUUCGAUGCAACGCGAAGAACCUUACCAAGGCUUGACAUACACCGGAAAAGUGCAGA